AGUUGGUAUAGCUCAGUGGUAGAGUGCAUGCUUGAUAUGUAUGAGGUCCUGGGUUCAAUGAAAAUGCUGGUUAAAUUA